AUGCAUGCAAGUCGAGCGAAGCUUUUCAGUAGUUUACUACAGAAAAUGACUGAGCGGCGAACGGGUGAGUAACGCGUGAGCAACCUACCUUAGUUACUGGGAUAGCCCGAGGAAACUCGGAUUAAUACCGGAUAUUCUUAUUUAAUCACAUGAUUUUUUAAGGAAAGGUCAGCCGAACUAAGAUGGGCUCGCGUUCUAUCAGCUAGUUGGUAGGGUAACGGCCUACCAAGGCUACGACGGAUAGCUGGUCUGAGAGGACGAUCAGCCACACUGGGACUGAGACACGGCCCAGACUCCUACGGGAGGCUGCAGCAGGGAAUAUUGUGCAAUGAACGAAAGUUUGACACAGCGACACCGCGUGUGGGAUGACGGAUCUAGGUUUGUAAACCACUUUCAGGAGGGAAGAAAAUGACGGUACCUCCACAAGAAGCCCCGGCCAACUACGUGCCAGCAGCCGCGGUAAUACGUAGGGGGGCGAGCGUUGUCCGGAUUUAUUGGGCGUAAAGAGCUCGUAGGCGGUUCAACAAGUCGGUCGUGAAAGUUCAGGGCUCAACCCUGAAAUGUCGAUCGAUACUGUUGUGACUAGGAUACGGCAGAGGUGAGUGGAAUUCCGAGUGUAGCGGUGAAAUGCGUAGAUAUUCGGAGGAACACCAAUUGCGAAGGCAGCUCACUGGGCCGCUAUCGACGCUGAGGAGCGAAAGCUAGGGGAGCAAACAGGAUUGGAUACCCUGGUAGUCCUAGCUGUAAACGAUGGAUACUAGAUGUAGGAAUUGGUUUAACGAUUUCUGUAUCGUAGCUAACGCGUUAAGUAUCCCGCCUGGGGAGUACGGUCGCAAGACUAAAACUCAAAGGAAUUG
rnacentral:rRNA from 1 species